rnacentral:rRNA from 1 species
UACGUAGGGCGCGAGCGUUGUCCGGAAUCAUUGGGCGUAAAGAGCUCGUAGGCGGCCUGUCGCGUCUGCUGUGAAAUCCCGGGGCUUAACCCCGGGCGUGCAGUGGAUACGGGCUGGCUGGAGGCAGGCAGGGGAGAGCGGAAUUCCCGGUGUAGCGGUGAAAUGCGCAGAUAUCGGGAGGAACACCGGUGGCGAAGGCGGUUCUCUGGGCCUGUACUGACGCUGAGGAGCGAAAGCGUGGGGAGCGAACAGG